rnacentral:rRNA from 1 species
AGUAACGCGUGAGGAACCUGCCUCAAAGAGGGGACGAACAGUUGGAAACGACUGCUAAUACCGCAUAAGCCCACGGCUCGGCAUCGAGCAGAGGGAAAAGGAGCAAUCCGCUUUGAGAUGGCCUCGCGUCCGAUUAGCUAGUUGGUGAGGUAAUGGCCCACCAAGGCGACGAUCGGUAGCCGGACUGAGAGGUUGAACGGCCACAUUGGGACUGAGACACGGCCCAG